rnacentral:rRNA from 1 species
AUUGAACGCUGGCGGCAUGCCUUACACAUGCAAGUCGAACGGCAGCACGGGUGCUUGCACCUGGUGGCGAGUGGCGAACGGGUGAGUAAUACAUCGGAACGUACCUUAUCGUGGGGGAUAACGCAGCGAAAGCUGUGCUAAUACCGCAUACGCCCUGAGGGGGAAAGCGGGGGAUCGCAAGACCUCGCGCGAUUAGAGCGGCCGAUGCCUGAUUAGCUUGUUGGUGGGGUAAAAGCCCACCAAGGCGACGAUCAGUAGCUGGUCUGAGAGGACGAGCAGCCACACUGUGACUGAGACACGGCCCAGACUCCUGCGGGAGGCAGCAGUGGGGAAUUUUGGACAAUGGGGGCAACCCUGAUCCAGCAAUGCCGCGUGAGUGAAGAAGGCCUUCGGGUUGUAAAGCUCUUUUGUCAGGGAAGAAACACCGGCUCUAACACAGUCCGGGAAUGACGGUACCUGAAGAAUAAGCACCGGCUAACUACGUGCCAGCCGCCGCAGUAA